UACGGUCGGCAUAGUAGCUCAAUUUAGCAGUUUAGGUUGCUAAAGUCCCUGGUGUUUUAAGCAUAGCGUCAGCUUAGCCGAGGAGCUGCUCCUGUGAGUUGUGGAAUUUCUGAAACACAGUUUUCAUAAUAUGGUGAUGGCAUCUGUCGACUUGGACAGGCUGUGCUCCCACCUCUCCAGCAUGCAAGCUGAUAAGCUACAUACCCUGCAGGACGACGAUUCUCUAACCAUUCCGCUGAUUAGGGGAAUGACCGUACCAACGGCUGUUGCCAGUAUCCGUUCGCAUAUUGCCGCUAUGUCGGACAUGAAGGAUCGCCUGUGCUGCAUAAACGAGAUUUAUUUGUCUCUCAUGGAAAAAGGCGUCAUCGCACCCUGGCUUUUUGUUCGGAUUUGCGACACUCGGGGUGCACCUGAGGACACCCCCAUGGCCCGCUAUUUCCAGAAUGUUAAGUCGAACAUGGAUUUCAUUUAUUCGAUGGAUGUAACCGAAGAACGUACUCACAUAUGCGCGAUGCUUGGGGAAAGCAGCACGCCGAAUGUGGGGCUUGACGUCUACUGUUUCUGCUUCUGGCCACCGGUGCAGGGCGUUGCAGUCUUCAAACCACAGUAUGGAUUCUCCAGGCGGCAACAGGACGUUCUUCGUGAGAUGCUCGGCAAUGGACGUGAGUUCUGUGGAUUUGGCCCCUACCAAGACCUAAAUUCGGCGCACAGUGCUGGCGUGUUUGUUUCCUCGUGUUCAAGCUCAGAGUAGGGCGUCGGGUAGUGAUGAUUCCCAAUCAUUUAAACUAUUAAACAGCUUGAGCGCCGACCCACCUGCUGUAUGGCACAGUUGAAGACGAAGUCACAUGAUGGAUUUGAAGAUACUGUAAUGACCAAUCAACUUACCCUUCUGCACGAGACAGCUUUGCGAAGAACGUUGCUCGCAUACGCCCUUAAGUAAAAAAAAAUAAGCUAGCAGAGUAUAGUGCAUUUCGCGUGUAAAUGUCUUGCAACCUAUGUACUGCCAUCUGUAACAGUGCUGGAUGAUUGUGUGACGUGGCCUAAAAAUGCAGCCCCAACUUUCGCAAUGUGCGCGCCGUUGGCGCCAUUCUGUUUUAGCUAAUAUGGAAUGUUUUGCAUAUUGCAUCUUUUGUCAAGAUCACUUAGGUGCGUUUGAGAUGUUUCAAUAAAAAAGCCGAAUAAAGCAGCGUUUGCUCAUGU